UGGAAAUACCUACGUUAUUUAUUUAAAUUGAAAAUCAAAAAAGAUAUAAGAGAAGCCACAACAAUUAUACUGAAAUGAAGAAUACAUAUUUAAUUCUUUUAACGACAGAAAUGUACUUUCUUAUUGUGGAUUGUGCACCAGAUAUCAAUCUCGAAGGGAGGCUUAUAGCAAACAAUGUUUCAAGAGUUUUACAAUUAAGUUGUACAACAGACGUGGCAGUUCAGCUAUGUACCGUUGAUAUCCUUAUAGGUAAAAAGACACACGAUAAUAUUCGAUAUCAUGACAAUAACUGUUACCAUUCAAAGUGGAUAUGUUAUCCAACAGUAUGUAUGUGCUCAGGUGACUGCAAGUCAUUCACAUUGAACGUAACAGUAACACAAAAUAUGAUGAACUAUAUAUAUAGUUGUGUGUCAAAAAUUGAAAAUAAAGGAGUUAUAUACACGGCAAACAUAUCAGUCAUUCAAGACG